AGGUGGGUUCCUUGUUGGUCAAAAUCACCUCUACAGUAACACACCUCUGACCUGGACAGAUGUCAUCCGCAAAUGGGAAGCUGAAAAUAUCAGUUUUGUUUAUGGCUCAACGGGAAAUAACCCGUCACUUGUUGGUAACUACACACAGAUGAUUUCAUCUGAAACAUCUUCUGUCGGAUGCGGUGCGGCUCAAUGCAGAGGAUUGUACUUGUACAUGUGUCUGUAUGCCCCAAUGCUUGACCCCUUACGAAUAAACAAACCGUACAAAGAAUCAAAUAAAUCAUGCGACGACUGUCCUGGUAAAUGUAAUGGAACUCUAUGUGAUUACGGUGAACUUAUAUGCCUGAGUGGAUCUAAGCUAAACAUGACUACCAAUAGGUGUGAUUGCGUGUCUACCGUAUGUC